rnacentral:rRNA from 1 species
GACUACUGGGGUAUCUAAUCCCGUUUGAUCCCCUAGCUUUCGCUUCUCAGCGUCAGGAAUGCCCCAGGUGGCCGCCUUCGCCACGGAUGUUCCUCCAGAUAUCUACGCAUUUCACCACUACACCUGGAAUUCCACCACCCUCUAGCAUCCUCAAGCCCUGCAGUAUCGAACGGCCACUCCGGGUUAAGCCCGGAGAUUUCACGCCCGACUUACAGAACCGCCUACAAGCGCUUUACGCCCAGUAAAUCCGGAUAACGCUCGCGACCUACGUGUUACCGCGGCUGCUGGCACGUAGUUUGCCGUCGCUUAUUCUAGGGAUACCGUCCUUUCUCGUCUCCCUCUAAAGAAGUUUACGACCCGAAGGCCUUCAUCCUCCACGCGGCGUUGCUGGAUCAGGCUUUCGCCCAUUGUCCAAUAUUCCUCACUGCAGCCUCCCGUAGG